rnacentral:rRNA from 1 species
UACGAAGGGGGCUAGCGUUGUUCGGAAUUACUGGGCGUAAAGGGCUCGUAGGCGGCCAACUAAGUCGGAUGUGAAAUCCCCAGGCUCAACCUGGGAACUGCAUCCGAUACUGGAUGGCUUGAAUUCGGGAGAGGGAUGGAGAAUUCCAGGUGUAGCGGUGAAAUGCGUAGAUAUCUGGAGGAACACCGGUGGCGAAGGCGGCAUCCUGGACCAACACUGACGCUGAGUGAGCGAAAGCCAGGGGAGCAAACGGG